AUUGAACGCUGGCGGCAUGCUUCACACAUGCAAGUCGAACGGUAACAGGCCGCAAGGUGCUGACGAGUGGCGAACGGGUGAGUAAUGCAUCGGAACGUGCCCAGUCGUGGGGGAUAACGCAGCGAAAGCUGCGCUAAUACCGCAUACGAUCUAUGGAUGAAAGCGGGGGACCGUAAGGCCUCGCGCGAUUGGAGCGGCCGAUGUCAGAUUAGGUAGGUGGUGGGGUAAAGGCUCACCAAGCCAACGAUCUGUAGCCGGUCUGAGAGGACGACCAGCCACACUGGGACUGAGACACGGCCCAGACUCCUACGGGAGGCAGCAGUGGGGAAUUUUGGACAAUGGGCGCAAGCCUGAUCCAGCAAUGCCGCGUGCAGGAAGAAGGCCUUCGGGUUGUAAACUGCUUUUGUACGGAACGAAACGGUCCUGGUUAAUACCUGGGGCUAAUGACGGUACCGUAAGAAUAAGCACCGGCUAACUACGUGCCAGCAGCCGCGGUAACAC
rnacentral:rRNA from 1 species